rnacentral:rRNA from 1 species
ACCAGGUCAAGACAUGGGCGUGAUUGACAGGCUAAUGACUUUUCUCGAUUCCAUGGAUGGUGGUGCAUGGUCGCACUUAGUUGGUGCAGUGAUUUGUCAGGUUUAUUCCGGUAACGAACGAGACCUCGGCCUUGUAAAUAGCUAUGCUGCUUACAGGGACAUUGGCGGCUACGCCAAGGAAGCUCGAGGCAAUUGCAGAUCUGGAAUGCCCUUAGAUGUCCUGGGUCGCACGCGUGCUACAAUGACGCCACGAACGAGCUUGCGUGAUGAAAGUUACGCAUAAUCAGCAGUCGGCGUCUUAAGGGAUAGUCUCUUGUAACUGUGGGACUCCAACUAGGAAUGUCUCGUAAGCACAAGUCAACAUCUUGUGUUGAUUACGUCCCUGCUCUUUGUACACACCGCCCGUCGCUCCUACCGAAUCGAGUGUUUAGGUGAAAUUUGAUGGACGUAAAGGAAAGUCAAAUAAACCUGAGCACUAGAGGAAGGAGAAGUCGAUCAUG